rnacentral:rRNA from 1 species
CGAAUGCUGACAUAAGUAACGAUAAAGCGGGUGAAAAGCCCGCUCGCCGGAAGACCAAGGGUUCCUGUCCAACGUUAAUCGGGGCAGGGUGAGUCGACCCCUAAGGCGAGGCCGAAAGGCGUAGUCGAUGGGAAACAGGUUAAUAUUCCUGUACUUGGUGUUACUGCGAAGGGGGGACGGAGAAGGCUAUGUUGGCCGGGCGACGGUUGUCCCGGUUUAAGCGUGUAGGCUGGUUUUCCAGGCAAAUCCGGAAAAUCAAGGCUGAGGCGUGAUGACGAGGCACUACGGUGCUGAAGCAACAAAUGCCCUGCUUCCAGGAAAAGCCUCUAAGCAUCAGGUAACAUCAAAUCGUACCCCAAACCGACACAGGUGGUCAGGUAGAGAAUACCAAGGCGCUUGAGAGAACUCGGGUGAAGGAACUAGGCAAAAUGGUGCCGUAACUUCGGGAGAAGGCACGCUGAUAUGUAGGUGAAGUCCCUCGCGGAUGGAGCUGAAAUCAGUCGAAGAUACCAGCUGGCUGCAACUGUUUAUUAAAAACACAGCACUGUGCAAACACGAAAGUGGACGUAUACGGUGUGACGCCUGCCCGGUGCCGGAAGGUUAAUUGAUGGGGUUAGCGCAAGCGAAGCUCUUGAUC